rnacentral:rRNA from 1 species
GAUGAACGCUAGCGGCAGGCCUAACACAUGCAAGUCGAGGGGUAGAGUUAGCUUGCUAACUUGAGACCGGCGCACGGGUGCGUAACGCGUAUGCAAUCUGCCUUGUACUGAGGGAUAGCCCAGAGAAAUUUGGAUUAAUACCUCAUAGUAUUAUUGAAUGGCAUCAUUUGAUAAUUAAAGUUCCAACGGUACAAGAUGAGCAUGCGUCUCAUUAGUUAGUUGGUAAGGUAACGGCUUACCAAGACGAUGAUGGGUAGGGGUCCUGAGAGGGAGAUCCCCCACACUGGUACUGAGACACGGACCAGACUCCUACGGGAGGCAGCAGUGAGGAAUAUUGGUCAAUGGGCGCAAGCCUGAACCAGCCAUGCCGCGUGCAGGAUGAAGCAUCUAUGGUGUGUAAACUGCUUUUAUACGGGAAGAAACGCUCCUACGUGUAGGAACUUGACGGUACCGUAAGAAUAAGGAUCGGCUAACUCCGUGCCAGCAGCCGCAGUAACAC